rnacentral:rRNA from 1 species
AUUGAACGCUGGCGGAAUGCUUUACACAUGCAAGUCGAACGGCAGCACGGACUUCGGUCUGGUGGCGAGUGGCGAACGGGUGAGUAAUGUAUCGGAACGUGCCCAGUCGUGGGGGAUAACGUAGUGAAAAUUACGCUAAUACCGCAUACGAUCUAUGGAUGAAAGAGGGGGAUCGAAAGACCUCGCGCGCUUGGAGCGGCCGAUAUCAGAUUAGGUAGUUGGUGGGGUAAAGGCCCACCAAGCCAACGAUCUGUAGCUGGUCUGAGAGGACGACCAGCCACACAGGAACUGAGACACGGUCCAGACUCCUACGGGAGGCAGCAGUGGGGAAUUUUGGACAAUGGGCGAAAGCCUGAUCCAGCCAUUCCGCGUGCAGGAUGAAGGCCCUCGGGUUGUAAACUGCUUUUGUACAGAACGAAAAGGUUUCUACUAAUACUAGGAGCUCAUGACGGUACUGUAAGAAUAAGCACCGGCUAACUACGUGCCAGCCGCCGCAGUAA